CGCAAGAACUUUAAGCCAAGUCAAAAUGAAAUGAAACACAAAAACAUUCUGCAAAAAGGUAAUAUUUGAUCACACAGUUACUGAACUAUUAUUAUAACAGGAUUUAGUGUAUUCAUUCAGUCAUGUAGCUAAUAGAAAGAAGACUGAAGCCCGUCUGAGGAGCUGGCUCUGUCUCUUAAUAAAGAGCAUCCAGGGGCAGUUCAUCACACACAGCAUGCACCACAAGUGAUGAAAUACACUGAUGGACUCUCCAGAAAGAACACAGUCUGUCACAGACUUGAUGAAGAUGAUGAAGAUGACGAUGAAGAGACCACAUCUGCUGUGACAGAAGUGGACAAUGCUGGUAGAUCCACG